rnacentral:rRNA from 1 species
GAUGAACGCUGGCGGCGUGCCUAAUACAUGCAAGUCGAGCGAAUGGAUUAAGAGCUUGCUCUUAUGAAGUUAGCGGCGGACGGGUGAGUAACACGUGGGUAACCUGCCCAUAAGACUGGGAUAACUCCGGGAAACCGGGGCUAAUACCGGAUAGCAUUUUGAACCGCAGGGUUCGAAAUUGAAAGGCGGCAUCGGCUGUCACUAAUGGAUGGACCCGCGUCGCAUUAGCUAGUUGGUGAGGUAACGGCUCACCAAGGCAACGAUGCGUAGCCGACCUGAGAGGGUGAUCGGCCACACUGGGACUGAGAAACGGCCCAGACUCCUACGGGAGGCAGCAGUAGGGAAUCUUCCGCAAUGGACGAAAGUCUGACGGAGCAACGCCGCGUGAGUGAUGAAGGCUUUCGGGUCGUAAAACUCUGUUGUUAGGGAAGAACAAGUGCUAGUUGAAUAAGCUGGCACCUUGACGGUACCUAACCAGAAAGCCACGGCUAACUACGUGCCAGCCGCCGCCGUAA